GCUUCUCCCGUUGGGGGGAAAAAACGGGAGAAG
rnacentral:tRNA from 1 species